CCUACGGGGGGCAGCAGUGGGGAAUAUUGCACAAUGGGGGAAACCCUGAUGCAGCGACGCCGAGUGAGUGAGGAAGUAUUUCGGUAUGUAAAGCUCUAUCAGCAGGGAAGAAAAUGACGGUACCUGACUAAGAAGCCCCGGCUAACUACGUGCCGGCAGCCGCGGUAAUACGUAGGGGGCAAGCGUUAUCCGGAUUUACUGGGUGUAAAGGGAGCGUAGACGGCUAAUCAAGUCAGAAGUGAAAACCCAGGGCUCAACCUUGGGACUGCUUUUGAAACUGAGUAGCUAGAGUGCAGGAGGGGUAAGGGGAAUUCCGAGGGUAGGGGUGAAAUGCGUAGAUAUUAGGAGGAAAACCAGUGGCGAAGGCGGCUUACUGGACUGUAACGGACGUUGAGGCUCGAAAGCGUGGGGAGCAAACAGGAUUAGAGACCCCGGUAGUC
rnacentral:rRNA from 1 species